UCUGGUCUUGGGACACUGUCAGGUGGGCAGUUUGACUGGGGCGGUCGCCUCCCAAAAGGUAACGGAGGCGCUCAAAGGUUCUCUCAGUACGGUCGGAAAUCGUACGUAGAGUGUAAAGGCAAAAGAGAGCUUGAUUGCAAGACAUACAGGUCGAGCAAGGAUGAAAAUCGGACUUAGUGAUCCGGUGGUUCUGCGUGGAAGGGCCAUCGCUCAACGGAUAAAAGCUACCCUGGGGAUAACAGGCUUAUCUCCCCCAAGAGUCCACAUCGACGGGGAGGUUUGGCACCUCGAUGUCGGCUCAUCACAUCCUGGGGCUGUAGUAGGUCCCAAGGGUUGGGCUGUUCGCCCAUUAAAGUGGUACGCGAGCUGGGUUCAGAACGUCGUGAGACAGUUCGGUCCCUAUCCGUCGCAGGCGUAGGAAAUUUGAGAAGACCUGUCCUUAGUACGAGAGGACCGGGAUGGACGUACCUCUGGUGUACCAGUUGUCCUGCCAAGGGCAUGGCUGGGUAGCUAUGUACGGAAUGGAUAAGCGCUGAAAGCAUCUAAGCGCGAAGCCAACUUCAAGAUAAGAUUUCCCACCGCAAGGGUAAGACCCCAGAAAGACUAUCUGGUUGAUAGGUCGAAGGUGUAAGUUCAGCAAUGUAUUUAGCUUAUCGAUACUAAUAGGUCGAGGACUUGACCAAU
rnacentral:rRNA from 1 species